UACGAAGGGGGCUAGCGUUGUUCGGAAUCACUGGGCGUAAAGGGCGCGUAGGCGGUGUGUCAAGUCAGGCGUGAAAGCCCCGGGCUCAACCUGGGAAUGGCAUUUGGGACUGCAAGGCUUGAGUGCGGCAGAGGAGACUGGAAUUCCUGGUGUAGCAGUGAAAUGCGUAGAUAUCGGGAGGAACACCAGUGGCGAAGGCGGCU
rnacentral:rRNA from 1 species